AUUGGGAUUGAGACACGGCCCAAACUCUUUAGGGAGGCUGCAGUGAGGAAUUUUCCGCAAUGGGCGAAAAUGCCUGACGGAGCAAUACUACGUGGGGGAUGCGCCACUUGUGGUGCGAAGGGCCGACCGGCCCGUAAACCUCUUUUCUCAAUGAAGAUUACGUAGACGGUAUUUGAGGAAUAAGCAUCGGCUAACUUCGUGCCAGCAGCCGCGGUAAUACGAGGGAUGCAAGCGUUAUCCGGAAUUACUGGGCGUAAAGCGUCUGCAGGUGGACCGAUAAGUCUAUGGUUAAAGAUCAAGGCUCAACUUUGGGAGGGCUGUAGAAACUGUCGGACUAGGGUAUAUAUAAGGGUAGAGGGAAUUUCUAGUGUAGCGGUGAAAUGCGUAGAUAUUAGAAGGACCACCAGUGGCGAAGGCACUCUACUAGGCAAUUACCGACACUCAUAGACGAGAGCUAGGGGAGCGAAAGGGAUUAGAUACCCCUGUAGUCCUAGCCGUAAACGAUGGAUACUAGAUUUUGUUUAUGCAGCUUCGUAGCUUACGCAUUAAGUAUCCCGCCUGGGUAGUACGCUCGCAAGGGUGAAACUCAAAGGAAUUGACGGGGGCCCGCACAAGCGGUGGAGCAUGUGGUUUAAUUCGAUGCAACGCGAAGAACCUUACCUGGGCUUGACAUUCUUGCGAACCUCUUAGGAAAUUUGAGGGUGCCCUUCGGGAAUUGCAUCGAUACGCGAGGAACCUUACCAGGACUUAAAUGUAACGGGACAGAUCUAGAGAUAGACCCUUCUUCGGACUCAUAACACGAAGAACCUUACCAGGAUUUGACUGCUUAUGAAUCUUUCAGAAGUGAGAGAGUGCCUUAGGGAACGUAAGCACAGGUGGUGCAUGGCUGUCGUCAGCUCGU
rnacentral:rRNA from 1 species